GGUAUGGGAUGAGCUUGCGUCCGAUUAGCUAGUUGGCGGGGCAACGGCCCACCAAGGCGACGAUCGGUAGCCGGCCUGAGAGGGUGAUCGGCCACAUUGGGACUGAGAUACGGCCCAGACUCCUACGGGAGGCAGCAGUAGGGAAUAUUGCACAAUGGGGGAAACCCUGAUGCAGCAACGCCACGUGUGGGAAGAAGCAUUUCGGUGUGUAAACCACUGUCGUGAGGGAAUAAGGCAUUGUUUCGGCGAUGUUGAAUGUACCUCGAAAGGAAGCACCGGCAAACUUCGUGCCAGCAGCCGCGGUAAUACGAGGGGUGCAAGCGUUGUUCGGAAUCACUGGGCGUAAAGGGAGCGUAGGCGGAGAUGCAAGCGGACUGUACAAUACCGGGGCCCAACCCCGGACCUGCAGUUCGGACUGCACCUCUUGGAUAGUUCAGGGGCAGGC
rnacentral:rRNA from 1 species